rnacentral:misc_RNA from 1 species
AAGAAGAAAAGAACUCGAAAAUUAAGAAGAAAAGAAGACAAACAGGAGGAAAAGGGAAGAUCCGUUGAAAAGGCAAUUUUCCCGACGAUCAUCGUAACCACUAACCAGAACCAGCGCUGCCUCACCCCGGCGUAAACACAGCAAACACUGCCGAGGUCAGUUAUCCAGAAGUGAGCUGGUUACUACAAAGCAGAAGGGAGAAGUAACCUCGCUUUUACACAUGAUAACUGGACCUCCGAAAUCUCAGUGCUCACCUUGAGUCACCACCAGGACACCACAAAAUGGCAGGGGCACUGAGUCUUGCCUGGGCUGUCACUGCCCUUCGCCCAGCCCUUCUUCGGCAGGCUUUUAGGAGUUUGAGUGUAACUGCAGGAAGGAACCAAGAAACCGGAGCAGCAGUAGCAGCAACCAACAUUGACAGCAGAAAGUCUCCCCUCAUUCUAGAUGAGAAAUUUACUGACAGCAACUCCAUUGUUGUGCCACGGGAAGCCUGGAUUGAGACCUUAGACACCAAUGCUGCCUCCACACAGGUUGGACUGAUACACCUCCACCCGGAGGUGUUUGGUGCCAAUCCCAGGCUGGAUUUAAUUCACGAUAAUGUUACGUGGCAGAGAAAAUUUCGCAUGGUGAACUAUGCCCACACCAAAGUCCGUUCAGAGGUGCGCGGUGGUGGGAAGAAGCCUUGGCCUCAGAAGGGCCUGGGCCGUGCCAGACAUGGCUCUAUCCGGUCCCCUCUGUGGCGUGGUGGAGGAGUAACACAUGGACCACGUGCCUACACUACACAUUUCUACAUGCUGCCGUUCUCCAUGAGACUGCAUGGGCUCACCUCAACUCUGUCUGCCAAGUUUGCACAGGAUGAUCUGAAAAUAGUGGAGAGUCUGGACAUGCCAUCAGACGAGGCUGGAUACUUGGAGCAGCUGUGUGAGGACCGUAGAUGGGGCAUAUCUGUGCUCUUUGUUGAUGAUUCUGACAUCAUGCCUCGUAACAUCACCCUCGCCUCAGACACUUUGGGGCAUGUGAACCUAAUGCCUGUAUAUGGCCUCAAUGUAUUCAGCAUGCUGAAACACGAGACUCUUGUGCUGACUGUGGCAGCUGUGCGACGUAUUGAGGAAAGAAUCCUUUAUCACUUGAGACGACCAGAUUUGCCCAAGGAAAACCUGAAAAAGUUCACAAUAUAACUCAUCUGAAAUUGAAAUACUGUAGCUGAGGAGUGGAGUGUACAGAUUCCACCCGAAGUCUAUCUUGUUGCUGAAAAGAAAAGUCAAUGGCAGCACACAUGAAAGGGUGAAGUCCACCAAUGCAUUAAGUGAUUUUUUUUAUUCAUAUUUUGUUCUUUUUAUAUAUAUUAUUUUUAAGAAAGAUUUAUUGUAUCUGACUUAGCUAUAUAUGACAUAAGGAAUGUCCACAAAUAUAUUAAACAAAAUUCUAUAUGUUGAUAUUUUUUGAGGCAGACAAGAUUUUAAAAAAGAUCAGAAUUUAUUUUGUGUAAUCUUGCAGUUUCAUCUUAACUAAACAUGUUGACUUGAAAUAUACCACUAUCUUUGGGGUUUGUCUGUUUCUCCAAUAAUUAUCUGUUUCAAAUUCCACUCUCCCAGGGUAAAAUAUGAGCUGUAGCAUUCACUAAUGAAUCUUAAUGAAGCUGAAAUGUACAUAGGUUGUCCAUAAAGAAUAAAAGAAGACUGUUUUACAAAAUAAACAUACUGGUGAA